rnacentral:rRNA from 3 species
UACGAAGGGGGCUAGCGUUGUUCGGAAUUACUGGGCGUAAAGGGCGCGUAGGCGGCCGUUUAAGUUAGGUGUGAAAGUCCUGGGCUCAACCUGGGGACUGCACUUAAUACUGGAUGGCUUGAAUUCGGGAGAGGAUAGCGGAAUUCCCAGUGUAGAGGUGAAAUUCGUAGAUAUUGGGAAGAACACCGGUGGCGAAGGCGGCUAUCUGGACCGACAUUGACGCUGAGGCGCGAAAGCGUGGGGAGCAAACAGG